rnacentral:lncRNA from 1 species
AGCCAGAGGGAAACAAACGCCGGCGCUGACAGGGGCCGCCAGCCCCUCCGCCGCGCGGAGCCCACGAAGGGGACAGCGCAGCCGGCCCAGAGCUCGGGUCUCCGGGGACCGAGGAAUGGGGUGUGUGUCGGUGUGGGCAGGAGCGCAGCAAUCGGCGGCGCGCGGCCCGCGAUCUCCGCGAGGGGGGCGUGUGUGCGCCCGGAGUUCUCCAUGAAUAAGAACCGAAUUCUCCGCCUGUACGGGCAGAGGCGUGUACACAUCUCGCUCUCGUACACACACUGCAGCACACGCCACCCAAUGUCACCCGGCCGGGAAGCCAGAGGGAAGGAGCUGUCUGGAAGGGAAUGGCCGAAGGAACAAAUGGUCCUCCUUUCCCCUACUCCCGCCCCGCGAACCCUUCCCUCCCCCGCCAGGCUCCCGCCCCGCCCGCUCCCUCGGAAGCCCGGGAGGCCGAGGCGCCUCCUGGCGGGGUGCGGGGGGAGGGCAGUCGAGCCACCCGCCCCCUUGGAGCCGGGGAGACGGCCGCUCCUGGGCUAGUGCGCCCCGAGCUCAGCGCGCUCAGCGGGAUCGCA